rnacentral:lncRNA from 1 species
AGAUGGCCGGUGUUGAACGCGAAAACGAUAUCACAAUUUCUCACCAAAUUCUCAUACAUUUUUCCCGAGUUGGCUAAGAAAUAAUAUCCUAUUAUAUACGAUGAUUCGAAACUUUGUUUCUCGUGAGAAUGAACAAAAUAUAGAGUUUGAAGAAUCCUCUAAGUAAUUAUAGGUAAUUCAAAGUCUAUAUAAUUGGUAGUCUCGAAUCUCUUCCUUUGAACGUUCCACGAGACUGGACAUGUAACUAAACUUUUUUUUUGUAUCAAUCAUUUGCUCGUAAAAGAAAAACCUAAUGUCUUAUUUGAAGCAGAUCCUAAAGAAUCGAUUUUGUAUCCAAGCGUAGUUUGGUAUAACAAAUUAGAGUGACUCCAUAAAAAGGGGUGGCGGUAGUCUCGAACGAGAUCGAUGCAAAUGUUAACAUCAAGGUUGCUCGCGAAAAAUCUGAUAGAAAUGAUGAUACGGAAUGAAGAUGGAGAGAGAGAAAGAGAAGAGAGGGCCAUUCUUCGCUCGAAAGAUUUGUGAAAAGUGUCGAGGAUAACCGUGUUGGUGGCGUCUACUACGAUGAUCGUGACGGAGACAAGUUGUUAACCGUGAUGACUGUGAUAGUGGUGCUUUUUCUGUGGUGCUUCGAAUGAUAUGGGGUGGAGCAGAGAAGUCGCGAUUGGGGUUGGAUGGGAACGCGUUGUCGGCUCGCCCUCUCUCUGUACUUUACUUCAGGGCAUGGACGCUAGGUGGCGAAUCUUCCAUCGAUAAGAAAAGGGAUAGAGGGAAGAAGAGGGAGAAGAGGAAUACCAAGAGGAAAGCUAGCUGUUACCUUUUAUUUAUCCGGAGGAUGCCGAAAACGAGAAGGGGAAGAAAAGAACAAAGUAAUACAAGAUGGACGAAAAGGGACAACCCAACGACCACGCAUGGAAACAAGUCGACCGAUGAGAAUGCUGCUCGAACUCUCGUUCUGAAAAAUGUAUAUUAAAAAAAGAGAAAGUUAUGGCACACGAAAAAACUGAAGCCAGCCAUUCAUCUGGACAAUCGAUAUCGACUCAUGAGACACGAACCAAUGCUGGACGCCAAUGGAAACGAAACCAACGAAAUCGGCGAAGACGAUACGAUCAGUAUCGAUGAUCUAAUAGAGGAAGAACAAACUCGAGACUAAUUUAAGCCUGUUCAAUGAUUCCUAACUUUAUGCAUAAAAGAUAUCUGUUGGGAAAAGCAAUUUCAGGUCAAAGUUUUGAGUGAGAAGUAAUACAAAAAAAAAACAGCCAGGUAAAUCCUCGGAGGACUUGCAACGCGAAGAGGAUUAGGUUCUAUUCAGGGCUCGUCGUAAAGUACGAAAUUGUUCGAACCGGUGACUGUUUCGUACCAACCUUCUAACCUUUUCUUUCGAAAUCCCAAAAUCCCUUAGUUCUUUCUCUCUCUCUCUCUCUCACACUUUUCAUCACCGAGUACGUUUCAACGUCGGAAUAAUUCUUUUAGACAUCAAAUUCGUGUAAGACGAGCAUGAGUAGGUCGCAAAAAUAAAAUACAAGAUAAUUUACAACUAUAUGAUAUCUUUUUUGUUUAUUAUGCCAGUUUUUAAUUUGACGCGCACGCGAGAAGCAAUAUUCUGGAUAAUUUUCAACGGAGACGCCAACGAAAAGACGUUCAACUUACGUACAAUAGAAAUAGAGAGAGAGAACGUGUCCCUUUUUCAAAACUUUAGUUGGAAUUUUAAUUUUCCAGAGACCAACUCCUAGAGCCCCGUACCAAAGCGUGUCCGCAUUCACGUAUCUAAUUAAGAGAAACCCUCCGGAAGAGCUACUAAUCUCAAACUUUUCCCCGGCUCCUCCCUUUUAUUUUCCCCGGCUCCGGUAAAAAAUAAUUUCUCUUAGCUACGAACUGAAUUUUUCCAAGGACCUGGAAAACUUAGAAAAAUGGAAACGUAUCGCCAAAACUGAUUUCAAAGUAAUAGAAAAAAUGAAUUGCAAAGAUAAUAAUGGCACCGAUGUCUCUGUUGGCAGAACAAGACGUUUAGAGGCGGCCGUGUUUGAGCUUGCCGAUCGAGUUAUAUCCGGAACGUUGUUAUCUCGAGUUAUAUCGAGAGUACAAGCGAAAAUAGGUUGAAAUCUUGCACCGUACUAAUUUAGGGCGUGGUGUUGGUAGCUCGUAAAAGAGAGGAAAAUGACAAGUCGCGCCGAUAGGCCCCCCAUCGAUCGAACAUUGCCGACGUUGACCCGAUUGCAAAGAUUUAACCUACCGCAAGUCUAGUACUUUUGUUUCUUUCCGAAAAAAAAAAAGUUUCUUCGCCCCCGUCUAUUUCCAUCUAGUCCAAACUCAAUAGUAAUUAUUAAUAGAUGAAUCAAUGUCGGUAAGAUUGCAUAGAUGCACCAGGUGACGCGGUAGCAACGGUAAAGCUCGAGUACUCCCACUCGAGUUCUCUCCUUCUCUGUUAAACGUCGAUCUUCCGCCAUAAUGGUUAGAGCAGUCGAUGUUCGGCAGCUGUUGCUCCUCCUUGCACACAACUAUAUAUCUUGUUAAGGCUGGUUUAACGUCCUCCUUAGUCGGUCUCUCUCUAUCUCUCUCUCCCUCUCUCUUACACGCGCCAAGGUAGACAGUUUCUUCCUCGAGAUUCAUCCUCGAUGCGGUCUGAAGGACUACGAGCAGCUUCGAGGAGGCUAGAGAGAGUAUGAGAGAGUAUGAGAGAAUAUGAGAGAGAGAGAGAGAGAGAGGAGAAAGGAGAUGCAUCGUAUCAUCGACAACGAGCACGCCAACGAGCACGCCAACGGGUCAGCAAGCAGCAGAGCCAGCAGCAGCCAUCGUCAGUGGCCGCUAGCAACGUCAUCGACAACGCACACCAUGUGUCCUCGCGACAAAGAGCUCAUUCAACGGCGGACAAUGGGUCUCCUCUCCCUUCUCUUUCUCUCUCUCUCUAGCACAGCACGAGCGUUCGCGUCGAGCCUCCAACGACGGACUUCAAAACCGAAAACUGGAAGAGAGAUUAUUGCCAAUGGAUUUCGAUGUAUUCUUUUUAUGUAUAGAAAUAUUUUAUUCGAUAAUAAAAUGAUAUUUAUAUGUUUCCGCGUAUAGAUAUAUUUUAUAACUGAAGAAAAAUCAAUUUACGGUAUAUAGGUACGGGACAUAAAUGAUAUCUAAGAAUGAGAUCGUUGAUCCUUUAAGACACCCGUGAUCGAUGACUUAAAGAUUCAUCAAGAUCGUUUGUCGAACGACUGCGAAGGAAAGAUGAAGAGAGAAGGGGAACGGUAAGAGAGAAAAACAUCGCGUGCCGAGCCUGAUGAACGACAAAGAUGCGUCCGGUGCAUCCCAAUCGUAGUUGGCCUUCGCUCUUUGAAUGAGAACCAUCGUGCCGUUAGCAAUUUAGCAAAGCUUCGCUGUCGGCAACAACGAAGCUCCUUCAGGAUGAACUAACCGAGAAAAAGAGAAGAGUCGGUUUCUCUUUUCUCGUUUCUUCGUUCCAAGGCUUCCCUCGCGAAACGAAAAACGAGGAGAGAAACGAGAGGAGAAACGAGAGGAGAAACGCACGAUGGUCCUCCAUAUAUCCAUCUUGCUCUCUCUCUCUCUCUUCUACACGAGAGAAAGAGGAGAGUUACUAUCUCUCGCGAUGCCAGUCCAGAGUUUCGUCUGGUAAAAGCGAGCCGAGCUACUCCAGAAAGGGUGUGGCUUGCUUGUGUUGCACGAAGGAGUAGUAAUAUAUCCGUAGGUGCAUACACGAAACCUACACCGAAAAGACUAUCCAACACGGAUGCAGAAUUCACGUAUAAUACACAUGGAAGAGGACGAGUGGUGCUCGAGGUGAACCGCGAGAUGAGAGGAAAGGUGCCGUCUGCUCGGACUAAACUGCUUGUUUUCAACGAAGUAGGAGAGAAGUAGCUACCUUCAAAGGGACCGCUCCUGACCACGGACUCGAUUUUAUUGGUUGAGUAGGAUGCUGCUCCGGUGGCUAGAACGACGACGUGUUCUCGAGUUUUCUCGAUCAUCUUAUACGAGUUACGUGCCCCUUAAAUUGGACUCUAUUGCACUCCGCAUAUUCGGUGCGCAAACAACGGACGGAAACUAAAUGAAAUAAAACGUUCGAGAAAUAUUUAUCCGUUAAUAGUUUUUCCUUCGAGCAAAGUCACGCAUGACCUGUUGCGCUCCGUCGCAACGACGCAACGCACGCUAUAGCAAAAAACAGCAGACGUUUCGUGACACGUCGCAGCAUCGAAGGUUAGACUCGUUAAAAUCUUAAUUACUGGCUUCAACACGCGAGUGUUCUCCUUUUGAAUGCAAAGCAAAAACUUUAGGAUUCCUAGAUUGGCCGAUCUAAUCGUUCGAUCUCCCAACAAACAUAUGCAUUUUUACGAAUUCAUUAUUAGUUAGAAUUAUAAAUAAUGAAAAGUAAUCGGAAGUUUUUCAGAUGUGUACGCGAGAACUAGUGACCGACUAAACGUCGUGGAAUAAGAAAAGUUUCUACGUAUUUCAAAGCUCGGCCAAUAAUUUUAAUUAACGAUUGCUUUUAACCUUAUACCACUGUGUCGGAAGCUUCUAAUAGAUUUCUUUUUUUAUUAUGUAUAUAUAUACAAACAUUGUCAUCGAUUUUCAGUCUAUCCAGAGAUACAUUUAGAAUUAUUUUAUUAAAAAAGAAUUAUUCAUUAUAUUUCUUAGAAGGGAAACUCUACAAAUGUAAUAUUAAAUAAAAUAUCAGGGAUAGGUAGAUCCGAGAGUGGAGAGUUUGGUCGUUCCCUUCUGCAACUUACAUAUAAAAUAAAUGAGAGCUCGCAGCUGCUAUCUAGCACCUGGCGAGGAAACCUUUCGAUCCUGCGAGCCGUAAUAAAUACAAAAAGACAGAAAGAGAGCGUUCAGGUAUCGGAAGUGGCCCUGUAAUUCUACACGGGCGGCUUUCGCUGAGCGGAAAUUUUCAAAAUUAUACGGUUUCCCGUAUAAGACAAGUCCCUCUUUGAAAACUUCUCUCUCCUAGUGGAUUAAUGAAACGAUUUUUGUUCUCUUUCUUCGCCCGAAAUGCAAGAAACUUUCUGCGUAACGCAGAAUUAACAAGGUAAUUUAGCAAAUCGAUACGCUGCUGCCUCGUUUUUCAUCAUACUACCAGCUCCAAGGAAGAGAAAUCAAUGAGGUCGCGUGAGUCGCUAUUGUGCGAAAAAUUUGUUUUAAAUCCCACCUUAGUAUUAGCACGUUCCAUUGUUCUUUCAGAAUAACGUCGUACACGAUCGAACCGAGUUUACGACGAUUGUUAAUAAAACGAAUUUCAGUUAAUAAAUCUAUUGUGUCAUUUUUUUCCAUACACAUUUCACAGGGGAACAGAAGAAAAAGAAGAAAAAUUACAAAUGUGAUGUGAUGUGAUGUGAUGUGAGGUGAUGUGUAAGGGUCCUAUGAAGUUCCCUUCAUAAGGGAACUUUUCCCCGGCAGAAAGAGUGUUUUGGAAAUUUGGAAUGCUUUCGAAAUUAUUCGAUAUCACCGUUUAUAUCAAAAUCGUGGUUGCGCUUUUGACAAACAAGAAUUGAAUGGAAAAGUGUUGACUGUAACAAGGUCGAACACUGAUUAUUCCGUUUCUUUCUCGAUAUCGUUCUACACUGCGGAAAGAAGGAAAAAUGUAAACGUUGACGUUGGCUAUUUGCGAGAGAGAAUACAUGUGUCCUCUGUAUAGUAAGUAAACAGGAGCUGCAUAAAAAACACAAAGCUGUCUGAAAACCUUGGAGGUUUUUUAUGUGGUGUGAAAGAAGAAGAAAGAGAUAAAGACGGAACGAUCGCUUCCCCUGGGAAUAGAUCAAAAAAUUGUCUUCGAGAAUAACCAAAAGUACGUACGCAUACAUUUGUUAAUGAAAUGUUUUUCCUUUGAGCUUCGUUCCGUUUAAAUAAUAACCGAUCUCUUCUCAAUCUUAUGCAAAUAAUAAGAAAAAAGGUAUAUAAUUAAUUGAUAGUUUAAUGUAAAUCAGCAUUUAUAACCGUUUGUCUAGAGUCAUUAUAAGGAAAAUAAGUUUUUUCUAUUCCCACAUAUAUUUUACCGUUAUCGGUAAGAUUUGUUGGGCAUUUUGAAUAAAACAAUAAAAUACGUGGUUAAGCGGAAAAAUUGUCCGGAUGUGCAGGUCAAUUAUUAUAAUUAAUUACAGUCUGGUGGGAACGGAUAGGCGUUUUACGAAUGACGGAUUUAAUUCGAUGAAUUUAGAGUUUGACGAACGAGCCGUCUCUGAAAAUAAUAAUAACGACCAAGUAAUGACGAUGAUAAUAACAGCAAUAAUAAUAGUAACAAUAGCAAUAAAAAGAAAUGCGAAUGUAGGGUGGUGGUGCAUUCGACAGAAACGCCGGGGGGUCGGGGGGGAGGGUUAUAAGAGAAAGAGAGAAAUGCUUGUAGCAAAUAACGAGCGUUUCUCCGCUCAGUUGAGAGAACAAGAAUCCGACAAUAGUUAUCUCGUUAUUCGAGAUUCGUUGGACCGUGUUCCAAAGUUACACGCGAAACGCCCAAGGUAAAACGAUCCUGGCAACUAGACGAAUCGAUGCAUCAUCCUAGUACCUAUGCCGUUCCUUUUUCUACGCUAAUCCCAACUCAAUGUUCACUUUCACCACCAACCAAUCGCCAAAUCGAUGCACGAGCACUUUGACGCGAGCUCCCGGUUCAUUUUUCUACGAGAGAUCCGAUCUAAAAUACAAGUAAGGAAUAGUCAACGGUUAAGUUUCCGCACCGACAAGAGUAGCCGAAAAAAAAUAAUCUAUUAGGUUAUUUAUCAUAAAACCAUUCGCGCGAUUAUUCUUCAGAAUUACUAAGCGGAAUAUUGGAAAAUGUAUGAUCGCGUAAACAACUUUAAACCGAAUAAUCAGGGCACGCAUCGUCGAUGCUUUUAUAACUUUCAACGUCAUUACGAACGUUGAAUGAAAAUUCAAUGAGUCGAUGUAGAAAUACCCGUUAAACGAAUGCAAAGCUUUUGUACUUAAUACCUAAGCAAAUAAAACAAGAUUUAAAUGGAAUUCAAUUCGUUUUAUACGAAUUCGAAGUUCGCUCGCAUAAACGCGCAUCGAAAGAAUGGAAGUAAAUAUUAUUCGUUUGUAAAACGCAAACGUCGGUUAUUAGCUGUGCGAGAUGAUUCGGUUCUGUAGAAAAAGAACUCCUCUAUGCGCUCAAAAAUAAUUCGAUAUCGCCCAUAGAGUAAUUACGGUUGGCGUAAACAACCGGGAGAAAGAGAAUCGAAUAAUAUAACGAUCGAAUUAAUUCGGGUCACGUAGGCAUCCUACUUUCCAAACUAUACUAUCGAUCAAUUCGCUUAAUAUCACGGUAAGUGAAAAAGUCGUCGCGUUCGUUGUUCGGUGAUCGAUGUUAUAUUAAGCAUUUGUACUCUGGUCAAUAAAGUGGUCAAUAAAGUC